GGAGGAGAUACGACUACCGUCGAAUGACGCGGCGCGCUUUUCGGAUCUCUGGCUCUGCGGAAAGUCGUGAGGGCCAACAGAAUAUAAAAACUGUUCUUCAACUGCCGGUGCAGAGAAACGACUUGGGUGUACCGUAUAAGGCUUUCUUGUCGUGCCUAAAGGAACGUGGUGCCUCAAGACGUCGAAUUAAUUGUGGCUAUCGUGAAAUUUGACAAAAAAUCAUAUCCUUCAUAUUCAGAAGCACCGUUGUAUGAAUUUGAAUUAGUUGAACUGCAUGGAUACCGCUGUUCUGUGUAUAUUUCUGCAGUGGUACAUCAUCUGAAGCAUGCAGGUAAGGUGUUUUAAACAUGUAUUGGCGCGAUAUAUAUUAAGGAUCACAAGUCUUAGUAGACGAAAUCAUAAGACAUCAGAGUUUAUACACAUUGGUGAACAAAAACUGUAUAUUGGCACCUCUGAUUUUUAUACAGCUGAAAAUUUGGAACUUUUAACUUUGGCUUUUAAACUGAAGUAAAGACAAGUACUACUUGUUGACUAAAAAUGCAAAAUUUCAAGUUCCACCCUCCGCCAUUACUAAUGAACGCUCCCUUAUGGCAUUUGGAAUCUUUUCAGAACAUUUUUGAAAAUCGUCAUUGUAGUUUUCUUUUAAAACUCAAAAAUUUAGUUUCACAAAAACUACACCGGCGUCUUUUUUCAAAUUUAAAUAUUUAAUAGAACCUAACAGGUUAAAUACAUGGUCAAAUUUUGAGAUAAAAGUGUCUGAAAAAUAUUAGAUGCAAGCACUCGCAGCGAGCAUGCAUGCAAGCCUUUCAUUAAGCGAGUAGAGGCUUAAAGUUGGCAAAAUGGUAACCUAAUAACAUAAUGUAUAGUGCACUUUACAUAAUUUUUAAGCCUUAGAAACUCAAAAUCGGCUACAAAAAUCUUAUUAAUUGCUUAAUUAAAUAUCUUAUAACAUACUUUUUUGCGAACUUCCUAUUAGUAUAGUUUAUUUUUGCUAAAAGUAAACUAGCCAAAAUUUAUAAAAGUAAACUAGCCAAAACGUAGCCAAAAUUAGAGGUGUCAACAUAUUUGUCUUGUUCACCAAUGCUUGAACUAUAAGAAAAUGCUGACAUUUUCAAUGUAUUGAAUUUUUUAAUUGAUUGUAGAUUACCAAAAAGAUUUUUCGAAUCAAUUUUAUUUUUCCCUGUCUACUUGGUAUGGCUCUUACAUUCGUCCAAGGUAA
rnacentral:lncRNA from 1 species